rnacentral:lncRNA from 1 species
CGAGAUUGUUCACCCGGACUUCGUUGCCUACUGUCCGGGGAGGGAGCGGUAUCCCUCAAGCUUCACUAGAAUCAAUACAAAGCUUUGGAAACGUCUAUACAACAAGAUCUCAAUCCUCGGAAAGAGUCUAGUGUCGUUACCUCCGAAAUAUACCACAGAUAAUCGGAUCCUCGGCUAGAUCAACGUCGGAGACACUGCUCCGUCGCCUCCUGUUGAGCUAGCUACCGGUAAAGCUCUCUCUCUUGAUUCUCUUCUCGUGAAGCUCUCUGAUCUCUCUGAUCUUUCUUUCUGUUAGAAGCCGCAAAGAAGACGAUGGCCGUUACAGCCGUUUUAACCAGCUGUUUAGCUCGUGGGCUUUAGUGUCACGAGGCCCAGCUCGCUCUUCUCUUUAACCCGUUACUGAAGUAGCAGGCCCAAUAGCAUUUGGCCCAAACCAGAAGAAAACAAGCUGAAGACCAAAAACCCACAAAUCUCCACCUCUUUGGUUUUCAGACACAACCGCGAAACCCUAGGAUGCGAUCAGCUCCUCCUUUCUCUUCUCCGCCUUCUCACUUUAAAAAGAUUCCGGCGAAGCUCGACCAAUACCAUCUUCUGGCGAUGGCCUCUGAUUCAGUUGUCUUCGAACCGGUAAGCUUCUUUUCUUUCUCGAUUCUCUCUCUCUAGAAUCGUAAUUGAGCAUCUCCACCUGAAACUAACAUCCAUUUAUCUUGUAUGUUAGUUAUAGAUACUUCCUUUAGCUCACCUAACAGUUUCUGAACACUCCGUUCUGCAGAAGAACUUCAACUGAAAACCCUACGGUCUGUUGUUUCUCUUUGCUGAUUCAAACAACCAGAACUCUAUUCCCUGACUCACUCUUUAUCUGAUACUGAGACUGCAGAUUUGCAGACGAGCACCUGAUACUGCCAGAAGAACUACCUCGAAUCAACACUCAGCAAACUCCACCUGAUUUGCUGUUCCUGAUUCAAUCUCAGUGACUCAACCUCAACCCUUGUUCAGAGAUCCUAUGUUUUGAUCUCCUCUGCUCGACAGGUAACUCCUUCUCGUAUGCUUCUUGCUUUUAAGACCUUCACACAUAACCUCCUUUUUUUUUUUUUUUUUUUUGCUAGUGUUAAUGCCAUGUAUUCAGCUUCGGUGGUUGAGAGCGCUACUACUGACUGAAGUCCUGACUUCCAGGACACAGUGUUGCCUCCCACUUGAAAUACAAUCCCGGAUACUGAUCGUCUCCUGUCUAGGUCUGUAGCAUAGUCUGAAUCCGAGAACCCUUCAACCAUGAACUCCGUAGACUUCUUGAAUGUUAGACACUUCUCAUAAGCUCCUGCUACAUACCUUAGUACCCAUUUCACUGCCUCCCAGUGCUCUCUACUUGGGUGUGACAUGAAACGACUGAUCAGGCCAACUGCAAAACCCAAGUCUGGCCUUGAUCCCACCAUGGCAUACAUCAAGCUGCCCACUGCGCUUGCGUAUGGCACGUCCUUCAUGAACUCAUAUUCAUCUGCUCUCUCCUUAGGAUGUAAGCUUUUUAGUUUAAAAUGAGACGCAGUAGGAGUAACAACUGCUUUAGCUUCAAACAUGCCAAAAGUCUUUAGUACCUUCUCUAGAUACUUAGCUUGUGAUAGUUUCAAAAUACCCUGUCUCGAGUAAUAUCCAUUCCUAGGAUCCUUGAGGCCUUUCCCAAAUCCUUCAUUUCAAACUCUCCGCUUAGACUGUCUUUUAGAGCUUUGAUGGUAGGUGUGUCUCUUGAAGCAAUCAACAUAUCAUCAACGUAAAGGAGUAGAUAGAUCGCUUUACCCGAAUUCACAUCUUUCAUGUAGACACAUGAAUCAUAUUCGCUUCUGAUGAAUCUCUGCUUCUUCAUGAAACUAUCAAACUUUAGGUUCCACUGUCUAGGUGAUUGCUUAAGGCCAUAUAAGGAUUUUCUCAGUAAGCACACUUUGUUCUCAUCUCCUUUCUCAAUGAAACCCUCAGGCUGUUCCAUGAGAAUUCUCUCCUCGAGAUCUCCAUGUAAGAACGCGGUUUUCACAUCCAUCUGUUCUAACUCGUAGUCGAAAUUCACUACUAGUGAUAGGAUCAAUCUUAUAGAUACAUGCUUCACAACAGGUGAGAAAAUCUCGUUGUAAUCCACACCCUCCUUCUGUGAAUAACCUUUGGCUACCACUCUGCCCUUGUAUCGCGGAUCCUCCACUCCUGGAAUGCCUGGUUUCAACUUGAAAAUCCAUCUGCAGCCAAUAAGCUUCUGAUUCUUAGGUCUUUCAAUUAAAUCCCAAGUCCUAUUCUUCUUAAGAGAUGCGAUCUCUUCCUUAGCUGCAUUAUUCCAAAACUUUCUUUCCUUAGUUCUCAUGGCUUCUGCAUAGGUCUGAGGCUCGUCAAUUUCAAGUUCCUCAGCAGCAAUCAGUGCAUAGGCUACUAGGUUUGCAUCAUCAAACCUGGACGGUGCCUUUAUAUUCUGUCUUCGGCUUCUGUCUCUGGCCAGUACAUAGUCGUCUAAAGCAGUAUCCCCUGAACUGACCAUGAUUCCUGUACCGAGAUCUGAAUCUGACCCUCCGUCUGAACUAACUGAACCUUGAGAACCUUCACUGUCUGACUCAUCUGACUGCCCUGAAGGAUCUUCACCUGAAGUUGAUGCACCUUCAGUAUUUCCUCUGGGAGUAGGACCAAGUAUCAAAUCAUCACUAAAAGAUACUUUCUUUUUCAUCUUCCUGUCAUUUUCAGAGUCUUCUGACGUUUUGUCAUUUCUAAUCCCAUUCACCUUUUCUGUAUCUUUAUACAAUUCCUGCUCAUGAAACACAACAUUUCUGCUCGUAGCACACUUGCCUUCAUCUUGAAUCCAAACCCUGUAGCCUUUAACUCCAAAAGGAUAACCAACAAACACUCCUUUUAAAGCUCUAGGACUUGUCUUCUCUUGUACUUUGUGUACAUACGCUGAGCACCCAAAACGCCUAAUGUGUGACAGAUCAAUCUUUCCUCCUGUCCACCUCUCCUCUGGAAUCUCAAAACCAAUGCUGGAACCAGGAGUCCGAUUUAUCAGAUAUACUGCAGUUGAUGUAGCUUCAGCCCAAAACUCAGAUCCCAAACCGGUUUCAGAUAGCAUGCUUCUUACUUUGUCCAUAAUGGUUCUGUUCAUACGCUCAGAGACGCCAUUCUGCUGAGGAGUAUAAGUGCAUGUACGGUGACGCUUAACUCCUGAGUCUUUACACAGCUUAUCAAACUUGUAGUUGCAAAACUCCAAACCGUUGUCUGUUCUCAGACAUUUUAACUUCCUUCCAGUUUGAUUUUCAACCUCUAGUUUCCACUCUUUGAAGCUUUCAAAAGCUUCGUCUUUAGUCCUCAAGAAGUAAACCCAAACUUUCUUUGAGUAGUCAUCAAUGAAACUUAUGAAAUACUUGCAGCCACCUAGACUCUCUGGCGUGGAUGGUGAUCCCCACAAGUCGGAGUGAACGUAGUCUAGGAUCCCUUCUGUAGUGUGCUUUGCUUUCUUGAAACUUUGCUUAUGUGAUUUUCCAAGAGCACAACUUUCACAGAAUUUUAAAUCUUCGACUUCUGUGAUUUUCAGGUAACCCUUCUUCACCAAGACAUUCAUGUUUGCUACACUCAUAUGCCCAAGUCUGGAGUGCCACAAAUCUAUCAUAUUUGGCUCAGCCUUUCCUAUAUUCACUUCACCUCUGGACACUGUGCCUUUUAGGUAAUAGAGCCCGUCUUGAUAGUUACCUGAUAUCACUCUUUCACCAUCCUUAAAGAACUCAACUUUAAAGUCUCCACCUUUGUAGGUACACCCUGCCUUCUCAAGCAUUCCAUAUGAUAUCAAGUUUCUGCUCAUCUGUGGCAUAUACCUCACAUCAGUAAGUAUAACCUCAACUCCAUCUGUAUUUCGAAUUUUUAUAUUCCCAAUGCCUUUCACAUCACACUGUGUGUUGUUUGCCAUUAAAACCUUUCCACCAUUUACGUCCUUGUAAUUGUACAGUACGUCCCGUUGUGGAGUUAUGUGAAAGGAACACCCGGAAUCUAGAACCCACUCUUGUUUAGAAUCCAAAGUGCUUACAGUUAGGACUAGAGGCUGCCUUCGUUCUGAAACCGUGUUUGCUGAAUCAUUAGAAUCUUGAGACUUGCUUUGCCUCUGUGGACACUCACGCUUCCAAUGUCCCUCCUUUUUGCAGAUAAAGCACGCAGUUUUGCCGUCUUUGUUUGCUCUUGGUUUUGACUGUGACCUUUGACCACGAGACUUAGAUCUCCCUCUGUCAUAAUGAGUCUUGCCAUUACCAUGAUCAUUCCUUUUGCUUGACCGUCCACGUGACUCCACAUACAGACCUUCAUUUGUCUUCCCAGCUUUUCCAAGCAGACCUUUCUGUUUGAGCUCUAUCUCCUUGGCGUACGCAGAAGAGACCACCUCUCUCACUGUGAGAGUAUCUUUCCCGGUGCCAUACUUCAGCGUAUGAACCAGCGCCUCAUACUGUGACGGUAAACCAGUAAGUAACUGAAUCGCCUGAUCCUCAUCACUUAUGGUUAUAUUAAGACUCGCUAGAUCACCAAUCAACUUGAGGAAACCAUCCAUAUUUUCUUCAACGCUCUUAGAUUCAUCCAUCUUGAAACUGGCAAAUUGUUGCUUGAGAUAGAUCCUGUUAGGUAGAGUCUUGGUCUGAUAAUCACGUUCCAAAGCUUUCCACAUUGCAAGAGCUGUAGGUUCAUGCAUUACCUUUCUUAGAAUCAUAUCACUCAAGCAGGUUCCCAUUAGAUUCUUGACUCUUGUAUCUUUCGCAACCUUUGCAGGAUCAAGGACUGGAUCAGCACCUUCUUCCAGCUUCUCUGACGUCUUGUAGAGUGUUGAUUCUUCUUGAAGAACUGAUCCCAAACCUUGAAUCUCCAGCUGACCAAGAAGUUUGUACUUCCACAUGCCAAAAUCUCCCUUUCCAUCAAACUUAUCCAUCUCGAAUCUACCUCGAGUAGGAUCAAUCUCCACAGAGUCCUUCCCAAGAUCCAUCUUGAAACAACCUCCUUUAAAGAGCUUCUAACCUUUGCAAUUACGAAUCCUUCCUGAAACAAUCAGCUCCAAAACAAGCAAACCACAGCUCUGAUACCACUUGUUGGUAAGUUUACGCUUAUUCUUUGAGUAUGUUCAGGUUCAAUUAGAGAUCUAACUGAUUCGUUCUUGUUCUCAGGUGAUCAACUACGCAAGAAAACGAAAUGCAAACGAGAUUGUUCACCCGGACUUCGUUGCCUACUGUCCGGGGAGGGAGCGGUAUCCCUCAAGCUUCACUAGAAUCAAUACAAAGCUUUGGAAACGUCUAUACAACAAGAUCUCAAUCCUCGGAAAGAGUCUAGUGUCGUUACCUCCGAAAUAUACCACAGAUAAUCGGAUCCUCGGCUAGAUCAACGUCGGAGACACUGCUCCGUCGCCUCCUGUUGAGCUAGCUACCG